rnacentral:rRNA from 1 species
UACGGAGGGUGCAAGCGUUAUCCGGAUUCACUGGGUUUAAAGGGGGCGUAGGCGGGCAGGUAAGUCCGUGGUGAAAUCCCCGAGCUUAACUCGGGAACUGCCAUGGAUACUAUUUGUCUUGAAUAUUGUGGAGGUAAGCGGAAUAUGUCAUGUAGCGGUGAAAUGCUUAGAUAUGACAUAGAACACCAAUUGCGAAGGCAGCUUACUACACAGUUAUUGACGCUGAGGCACGAAAGCGUGGGGAUCAAACGGG